rnacentral:tRNA from 1 species
GUGAAGUUAGUUCAGUUGGUUAGAAUGCCGGCCAAAAAAAACGAAGUCUGAUAAGAUUUCAUUCUGCAUUCACAUGCACGCCGGAGGUCGCAGGUUCGAGUCCUGCACUUCACC